GUCGUAAUGUUGUAAGAGAGAGUUGUUUUGGAUCAGACUGGUGAUAGGAUGGCUGGCUUAUUUGUUGUCCCAUUUGUUAUCAUCUUUCUAUAUUUUUAUGAAUUUUCUCCUGUCUCCUUGUCCUGUGUAAAAGAAGGAAGAGCUUUGAUGCAGCUCCAAUACAAUAAGGCUAACAUCAGAUGGCCUUUUUGAAUGAAGAGCAGAGCCGUGCAAAUCCGCGGAUAUCUGCGGACCAUUUUUGUGGAUUGAGGACCGGAUGCAGAUACAAAUUUUGUAUUCACACAGGGCUCUAGUCAAGAGACUUCUAACUGAGCAGCCUGUGUUAGGAGCCAAAACUGUUCAGUGAACCCACAAAAGCCUUUAAGCCAUUUAUUUUGA